CCUACGGGUGGCUGCAGUGAGGAAUAUUGGUCAAUGGACGAAAGUCUGAACCAGCCAAGUCGCGUGAAGGAUGACUGCCCUAUGGGUUGUAAACUUCUUUUAUAAGGGAAUAAAACGAGGCACGUGUGCUUUUUUGCAUGUACUUUAUGAAUAAGAAUCGGCUAACUCCGUGCCAGCAGCCGCGGUAAUACGGAGGAUCCGAGCGUUAUCCGGAUUUAGUGGGUUUAAAGGGAGCGUAGAUGGGUUGUUAAGUCAGUUGUGAAAGUUUGCGGCUCAACCCUAAAAGUGCAAUUGAUACUGGGAGUCUUGAGUACAGUUGAGGUAGGAGGAAUGCGUGGUGUAGCGGUGAAAUGCGUAGAUAUUACGAAGAACCCCGAUGGCGAAGGCAGCUUACUAAACUGUGACUGACAUUGAUGCUCGAAAGUGUGGGUAUCAAACAGGAUUAGAUACCCCUGUAGUC
rnacentral:rRNA from 1 species